rnacentral:rRNA from 1 species
GACGAGCCACACGAACGUUAUUCGGAAUUACUGGGCUUAAAGGGUGCGUAGGCUGCGCGGAAAGUUGGGUGUGAAAUCCCCCGGCUCAACCGGGGAAUAGCGUCCCAAACCGCCGUGCUCGAGGGAGACAGAGGUGAGCGGAACUGAUGGUGGAGCGGUGAAAUGCGUUGAUAUCAUCAGGAACACCAGUGGCGAAAGCGGCUCACUGGGUCUUUCCUAACGCUGAGGCACGAAAGCUAGGGGAGCGAACGGG